UGUUGAAUUUCAUGUUUUGGAGGCCGAAUUCAUACCUAGAAUAGUUGGGUUCGAGUUGUAUGUGUUGGAGUUCUUAGAGAAAUCAAGAACCUAGACUUGAAUCUCAUGAGUUUGAUGCUUAGAACAUGAAUUGAUUCUUGUAUUUGAUAGUUCUUGCGAUGCCCUUUGUUAUAUAUGAGUUUGAGCAUGAUUUAGUGUGGUUUUGAUGAAUUUUAGAUGUGAUUUGAGUAAAGAAAAGAUUGAAAGUCGGAGAAGAACAAGCUGAAUUUUCGUUGAAAACCUAGGUGGUAGCAGUACCAAGUUUGGGGUGGUACCGGUACCCAAAUCUCUGGAUUUUGGUUUUCCCAGUUGGUACCGGUACCAAGUUUUUUGUGGUACAGGUACUAGUCAGACAAGUGAACUUCGAACAAGCAUAACUUUUUCAUCCUGACUCCGUUUUGGGCAAAAUUUAUAUCGAAAUUGAUGUACUGAAAACGUACUUUUUAAUGGUGGUAGUUUCAUGACCUAAUUCUAAUCCUAAAAGAAGAAAUGGUCAGAAUAUGGUGGAAUAGUUAUUGAAUUCUUUACUGAUUUUGGGGUUAUGUUAUGAUUAAGUGCUAUGCUUGCUUGGGGACACUUAGAGGUCUUUGAGAUGAUAUGUUUAAGUUCGUUGAACAUUGUUUAAUACUUUGUUAGCUCUAUAACUUGAUAUCAAAUGGUUGUAAAAUGGAUUAGGGGAUGUUUGGUGGCCUUGUUAACCUUUGGGCAUGCGUUAACAUGGUAAAAGUGUUAUGGGGUGUUAUCAUAUAUUUAAUUAAACAUUCCAAGGGAUUCAUAUGCUGAUAUGGUUAGCUUGUGGCUAGGUAACAAGCCGGUCAAAUGGGAGGUGCCGAAACCGUAAGUUUGGUGUACCUUGAUCAAUUCAAAGAUAGCAGGUGGCUUAGAGUGAGUCCACUACCGGUUAAUGUGUUGGGGUGUAUUUGGAUUAGCUUCGAGUGUUGUUGAUGAACGAGCUGGUCUAUAGAUAAUGAAUCUAGAAGUUGAAGUUGAAGUUGAUUUUGUAUAUAUUGUAACUAAGGGAUUUUGAAUGUUUAAGUUAUAUGGGUUUCAUAUAAGUUGUUCGGUUGUUGAGGUUCUGUAAUAGAAAGAUGUGAUUCGCGUUA